CGUGCGAGAGCAGAACGUGCAUCUUCGAUUUUCAAAACAAUCCGAUUUCAACGGUCGCAAGAGGUUGCAAGAUUUUUGUAUUCUUUCGAUUGUUCCGCGGUAAAUAAUAGUGAAUAGUAAUUAUUACGGUGAAAAAUUGAGAACGAUAACGUGAGGAGUAGUAAUCCUACAUUAUGUAGAGGAUUUCUAGUGAGGAGUGGCCAAGAACGCAGGAAACCAAGAAGGUCAACCAACCAACCAAGAAGGAAACCAACAGUUACUGGCCUAGAUGUACAACCCGGACACGAAUAAGGGCGAUCCGGAUUCGAGCCGGAAGUUUCAGGAAGAUUUCGAGGUGAGGCGCCUUACAUACAAAGUAUUUAGUUAAGAACAAACGUCUUGAAAUCCCGCUUCAAGAGUGCAUGAGAACUUAAAACGCACAAAUCUCAAGAAGCAAGCGUCAAACAACAGCGUAUUUUAUUCUCCGUCAAAUUGCACAUUUCGGCAAAUCAUCCGAAGGUUCGAUUCCUAGUCGAUGAUAUCACCCAUCAAGCUGAGGAAGAAAUGAAAGAUAACGAGUGCGAGUUCAAGCACCGACAACGAGUCAAGCUGGCUAGAAUGCUGGUGGAGUGCAAUCCACGGGUAUAUCUAGCUGGUGAAAGCCGUAAAGAACAAAGUUUUGGCAUCGGGCGGAUAACACAGCAGGGUGAAAUACCGUUCUCUGCUGGAGGAUCCUUCGGUCGGCGGUCGAACGAAGUCAGGCAAAAAUACCCAACGUAUCGGAGCAUCGAAAAUCCUCCGUGGCAGCUGACAAAAUGCCUAGAAAGAUGAAACACCCGAAGGUCGCAAGAGCAGGAAGAGGAAAUCGGUGGUGGUGUAUCCGGCGCAGGGUGAUGAGGACACAGUCUAGCUCGAACCACCAGUGUAAAUGAAUGGGGGCUAUGAAAACAUGACUAAAGAGACUGCUCUGGAGGAGACCCCAAUGACGUCAUGCUGGAGGAAGAACCGACUGCCCAAUUGACCGAUAAAA